rnacentral:rRNA from 1 species
UGCAGUCGUACGCUGAAGCCUGUAGCUUGCACCGGGUGGAUGAGUGGCGAACGGGUGAGUAACACGUGAGUAACCUGCCCCUGACUUCGGGAUAAGCCCGGGAAACUGGGUCUAAUACCGGAUACGACUGCCGGACGCAUGUCUGGUGGUGGAAAGUUUUUUCGGUUGGGGAUGGGCUCGCGGCCUAUCAGUUUGUUGGUGAGGUAAUGGCUCACCAAGACGACGACGGGUAGCCGGCCUGAGAGGGCGACCGGCCACACUGGGACUGAGACACGGCCCAGACUCCUACGGGAGGCAGCAGUGGGGAAUAUUGCACAAUGGGGGAAACCCUGAUGCAGCGACGCAGCGUGCGGGAUGACGGCCUUCGGGUUGUAAACCGCUUUCAGCAGGGAAGAAGCGCAAGUGACGGUACCUGCAGAAGAAGUACCGGCUAACUACGUGCCAGCAGCCGCGGUAAUACGUAGGGUACGAGCGUUGUCCGGAAUUAUUGGGCGUAAAGAGCUCGUAGGUGGUUGGUCACGUCUGCUGUGGAAACGCAACGCUUAACGUUGCGCGUGCAGUGGGUACGGGCUGACUAGAGUGCAGUAGGGGAGUCUGGAAUUCCUGGUGUAGCGGUGAAAUGCGCAGAUAUCAGGAGGAACACCGGUGGCGAAGGCGGGACUCUGGGCUGUAACUGACACUGAGGAGCGAAAGCAUGGGGAGCGAACAGGAUUAGAUACCCUGGUAGUCCAUGCCGUAAACGUUGGGCACUAGGUGUGGGGGGCAUUCCACGUUCUCCGCGCCGUAGCUAACGCAUUAAGUGCCCCGCCUGGGGAGUACGGUCGCAAGGCUAAAACUCAAAGGAAUUGACGGGGGCCCGCACAAGCGGCGGAGCAUGCGGAUUAAUUCGAUGCAACGCGAAGAACCUUACCAAGGCUUGACAUACACCGGACCGUCCUGGAAACAGGUCCUCUUCUUUGAAGCUGGUGUACAGGUGGUGCAUGGUUGUCGUCAGCUCGUGUCGUGAGAUGUUGGGUUAAGUCCCGCAACGAGCGCAACCCUCGUUCUAUGUUGCCAGCACGUGAUGGUGGGAACUCAUAGGAGACUGCCGGGGUCAACUCGGAGGAAGGUGGGGAUGACGUCAAAUCAUCAUGCCCUUUAUGUCUUGGGCUUCACGCAUGCUACAAUGGCUGGUACAGAGAGAGGCGAACCCGUGAGGGCAAGCGAAUCCCUUAAAGCCAGUCUCAGUUCGGAUCGUAGUCUGCAAUUCGACUACGUGAAGUCGGAGUCGCUAGUAAUCGCAGAUCAGCAACGCUGCGGUGAAUACGUUCCCGGGCCUUGUACACACCGCCCGUCAAGUCACGAAAGUCGGUAACACCCGAAGCCGGUGGCCUAACCGUAAGGAGGGGG